rnacentral:rRNA from 1 species
GCAGCAUUUUAGUUUGCUUGCAAACUGAAGAUGGCGACCGGCGCACGGGUGAGUAACACGUAUCCAACCUGCCGAUAACUCCGGAAUAGCCUUUCGAAAGAAAGAUUAAUACCGGAUAGUAUACGAAUAUCGCAUGAUAUUUUUAUUAAAGAAUUUCGGUUAUCGAUGGGGAUGCGUUCCAUUAGUUUGUUGGCGGGGUAACGGCCCACCAAGACUACGAUGGAUAGGGGUUCUGAGAGGAAGGUCCCCCACAUUGGAACUGAGACACGGUCCAAACUCCUACGGGAGGCAGCAGUGAGGAAUAUUGGUCAAUGGGCGCGAGCCUGAACCAGCCAAGUAGCGUGAAGGAUGAAGGCUCUAUAGGUCGUAAACUUCUUUUAUAUGGGAAUAAAGUUUUCCACGUGUGGAAUUUUGUAUGUACCAUAUGAAUAAGGAUCGGCUAACUCCGUGCCAGCAGCCGCGGUAAUACGGAGGAUCCGAGCGUUAUCCGGAUUUAUUGGGUUUAAAGGGAGCGUAGGUGGAUUGUUAAGUCAGUUGUGAAAGUUUGCGGCUCAACCGUAAAAUUGCAGUUGAAACUGGCAGU